GCCUGGUGCAGUAGUGCACACCUGUAAUCCCAGCAGCUUGGGAGGCUGAGGCAGGAGGAUCAUAAGUUCAAAGCCAGCCUCAGCAAUGGCAAGAUGCUAAGCAACUCAGUGAGAUCCUGUCUCUA
rnacentral:sRNA from 1 species